GUCCCCGUAGCACAAAGGAUAGUGUGUGUGUGUGCUUUGGACUUCUGAUCCAAAGGUCGUGGGUUCAAAUCCUACCUGAGAUG